CUAACCCAUUUUUCUUUCCCUCUCCUUAUACAAUCUCUUCACGCUGCGAACCCUUGUUGUUUUGUCUUCCUCCUCCUUUCUUGGUCUUUGAUCGAGUUGCCCCUCCUCCGUGGUCAGGCUGACUUCCACCAGAAUUUUCUCAUCUCUGACACCAACUCAUCCUGCACUUUCACCUUCAACCUCACCGUCUUCUUGUUAGUCGUGAAGACCAUUGCGCUCACCAUGAACGUUGUCGGCAUCAUCAAGGGCCAGCUCCUCAUGGCCUUCUCCUGAUCCAUCAUCCGUGAUACAAUCACCCCGAUCUUGUACACCUUUUUAAUCAGUGGGCGGGGAUAUGAGAAAAGAAGGAAACUCAAAGUGAGGAAUUCCCUGCUCUAGAUCUCCAGAUUUGUUGGUUUUGUCCUUACCAUUACCUUGCAGAAGCUUUAAAUUUACUGCAGAACCUCUUUGGAUCCUCCACUGAAGUCCAAAUAUAGCGUUGAAGCCAACAAGCAUGUUUCUCCCGUCCAUAUUGAAUCGGGUAAUGCUGAUGCGCCAAAGGUAUUGGUUUCCUUCAAAGUGUUCACCUAUUCCGUGAAUGGUGGCAACUAUUAUGUGGCCACUUGUUAUGCACCCCCAGCCUAUUUUUAUGGAGGUGGUGAAUUAUGCUUAAUAUUACUUGGUUAUUGCGCUUAUCUGCUAUCUUUGUGUUCUUAUCUAUAUGAUUGUUAUUUGUAUUGCAUUCUUCAUGAUAUAAUCAUGCUUUCAAAGAGUGGAAUGGUUACUCCACAUACAUGAAUGAAGAUGACAUGCAGGUGUGACAUAUAACUUACACUAAAAGAUGCACAAUGUUUAUCUAAUUCAUAGCUGAUAUGUGCAAAUGUUGUAAAUCAAAUUAGCUUGUUCAAAAACAUUAGUUUGUUCUCCCAACUUUGUAAAUUAUUUUUUAUCUAGAUUUCUAGAAUUAGUUUUGGAGUCAUCCUUUGUGAAACACUGUUUUUUUAAGCUCUUCCAUAGAGAUAUUUUGGAUGCUAUGCUUGGUUUAUCUUCUGUUGUAUUUUGAUCAUAAAUGUUAGUUUACAUAAUUAAAGUUAUAUAUGGAUAAAUUAUCUACAAAUAUUAUUUUUGGAUUGGAGCACAUGGCUUACCUUUGACUCGAGAUGUAUUGACUUCACUUCCUCCAGUAUUAGAAAUAUGUAGUGAAUAUGUGAGUACAUAUUUUAAUUUUAUUAAGUAUUUAUUUUAGUCAAUAAAACUCUCAUAUGUCUACUCUUAUUGAUGUACAAAGGAGCAUAAGAUUGUUUAAUCCAAACAAGGAAAAGAAAAGGAAAAAACAUGCUACAUGAGAAGUAAUAAAGGUAUGCAUGUCUAUUGUUGUAGUUUGCAUGACUCAUUUUUAAUAGAUUGUUUUCGACAAUUUUACAAAAUUUAUGCAUUGACUAUUUGUUUUGUGCAUAGUUGUCAUUGAAUUUUGACUGUCAUCGACCCUUAUGUGGAGGUGGUUUAUUUGUUCGAUUCACUUAAUCAUCACAAUCGUCAUGAGGACUGGAAAUAUAUAGUGAAUAUGCGAGUACAUAUUUUUUUUAAUCAAGCAUUUAAUUUAUUACUCAUAUGUUAAAUCUUGUUGUAUGAAGGAGCUUGAAAUUGUUCAAUUCGAACAAGAAAAGGGAAAAAGAAGCCUACGUGGGAAGUCGUAAAGGUUUCUAUAUUAUAUAUACACACAUAUGUCUACUUGUGAUGAAUUAAAAAAUAUUUAAAUGUGCAUUAUUCGUUGACAAUUUUUUAUACCAAAACCAUUGUUUUUUGCUCUUAUCUAUUUGUGAAAGCUUAUAGAAGUGAAUAUUAACAAUGCAAUGGAGAAAUAUAUAAUCUUGUUAUGGAAGUGCUAAUAUCAUCUGAUUUUGCAACAUGAGAAGUGCAAAAAAGUAGAUUUUGGGUGUUGUCCUUGAUUUUUUUUUUGUGGUGAAAUAGAUAAUCUUGUUAGUAGACAUGAUCCAACCUCAGGGAAAGGAGCUUGAUUUGCUCACUGUAAUAUUUCCUGAUAAUGAUGCUUCUCUUUAUGGUAUGAUGUCUUUCUUGCACUUGAUCUUGUUUGACAUAACUUGAUAUUUUUAUUUGUUGACAAAUAUCAAUUGGCUGAAACUUUUAGCUUUUAUUUUUUCCCUUUCCUUGUUCGCUUUAUUAUUAUAUGCCAUAGUUAUUACAGGUGAUCAAAAGCAGAUAUGUGAGACUGGCCUUGGUUUAGUUUCACAAUGUUGUUUGACAAAGCAUGUUUUUAGGAUGAGAAAACAGUACCUUGCCAAUGUUGGCCUCUAGAUCAAUGGAAAGGUUGGAGGAAGGGACACAGUUCUUGUCGAUGCAUUGUCAAGGUGCAUUCCUCUUGUUAGCGACCGACCAACUAUAAUAUUUGGUGCUGAUGUAACACAUCCUCAUCCUAGGGAAGAUUUUAGCCCUUUUACGCAGUUGUUGUUGCGACUUAAGACUUGCUCGAGGUGACAAAAUAUGUUGGAUUGGUCUGUGCUCAGGCCCAUCAAGAAUUAAUUCAAGAUUUGUUUAAGGUCUGGCAAGAUCCUCAGCGAGGAACUCUUACUGGUGGCAUGAUAAAGUAUGAAAUACAACCUAAAACCAAUUUUAAAUAGAAU